CGUAGUUGUGUAGCCUAUAUAAGGCAUGUAAUAAACAUAAGUGUGAUAUAGAAAAAUACAGACAGUCAAAUAUUUUCUCUUAUUUUAAUAUGGUGGUUUUAGGAUCCCUUUUUCUUUCUUCCGCAAGAUCAAUUAUAUAAUUUUUUUUCCUACAAUAGCCGUCAUCAUCUAAUCAAUUUUUAUUUUAUUUUUGGGUUUGCUUGGUUGCUGCACUACAUCCACCAAUUUCCUAAUUUGUUUUGUAGGUGUACGUGGCUUUCUCAUACUCCUCCACUAAAACACCUACUUUUUUUUAUUUAUUUUUUCAAUUGGAUUCCAUUAUUCAACCUCUCUUUUUCGCCAUGGUUGGAAGUGAAAGCAACACCAAGAAACCACAAUUGAUUCAUGACGCAUCAUCAUUCUACUAUUUGCAUCCAUCGGAAAAUUCAGGAAAGAAAAUAUCAGCAUCAAAUUGCAUUCUACGCCACUUUGAUUAAGAGAAGCAAAAUUUACAAGCCAGUUGACUCUCAAAUAUUUCAAGCCCAAUAUUGUUUUAUUGUGUAGGCUUUUACAUUUGGGCCUUGAAUGAAAAUAUCUUCCUACUUAGCUGAGUGAAGAAAAGAGGCAGCUCAAGAACAUUUCUCCUUGCUCUAAAGCAUAGAGUUUUUCACCGACUUUCACGGAGAACAAACCGUCAAACAAGAUGAUAAAGAUGAAAGUGGAUAAUUAUUGGAGCGAAAUACUCGGAGCAACGGAGAUGAAUCAAAGGCUAGUUCCUUAUCUUUCGGUUAGGGAAGUUUUUGAGUGUUAUCAGAUCCGUAAUUUUGGGGAGCAAAAUUGAGGGAAUAUAAUCUGAAUUUCGGCGGAGAGUUGCGACAUCCAACAGUGAACAGAGGUGGUAGACGAGUGAACAGAGGUGGCUUGGUUCUGUGCAUGGUUACUCUGAUCAUCUACUGGAAGCUUUUGAUAUUUUAUAUAUUUUGUUUACAUUCAAUUGUCAGCUACUUGUUUUUACUUUGGAUUAGCAGUAGAAGUUUUGUUUAGAAAAUGGAAAUAAUAAAGUUAGUGCUUCCUUAAUUUGUUCUUGAAUGCGUCAGUUACUCCUAGGAAUUAUACUUUGAUUGCUUAAUAUAAUUUCUAGUAUCUAUUUCUAUUUUGCUUUGUUAA